rnacentral:rRNA from 1 species
UAGGGAAUCUUCCGCAAUGGGCGAAAGCCUGACGGAGCAACGCCGCGUGAGUGAUGAAGGUCUUCGGAUCGUAAAACUCUGUUAUUAGGGAAGAACAUAUGUGUAAGUAACUGUGCACAUCUUGACGGUACCUAAUCAGAAAGCCACGGCUAACUACGUGCCAGCAGCCGCGGUAAUACGUAGGUGGCAAGCGUUAUCCGGAAUUAUUGGGCGUAAAGCGCGCGUAGGCGGUUUUUUAAGUCUGAUGUGAAAGCCCACGGCUCAACCGUGGAGGGUCAUUGGAAACUGGAAAACUUGAGUGCAGAAGAGGAAAGUGGAAUUCCAUGUGUAGCGGUGAAAUGCGCAGAGAUAUGGAG